CUCCUCCAGGUACUUCGCGGGCUCCCAUCGAGCAGGCGCACUCUCACCCUGGCCCCACCCCCUCCACCGCUACCGCCUGUGCGCACGCGUCCUUUCCCCUGGUGGCGCCGGCCGCCCGCCUCCAGUCCUUCCACGUCCUCGCCAGCUCUGGCGCGCAGGGCAGCUUCCUAGAGCCGCCGCAGCCCACCCUGCAAAAUGGCGGCGCUUUUUUUGCAUGAACCUUUUUUGCAUGAACAGAUCAAGCGAAAUAGAAUCAACAUUCUGAACUUGGAGAAAUCAAUGAGACCAAUAUGCCAAUGGGGCCAAGCUGCUCCCCACCCCUAACUGAAGAAGAGUCUCCACCAGCCUGGUUCUUGCCUGGUUCUUGGAUCUUUUGGGAUUUCAAUUACAAGGUGAUUCUGCAACAUAAUUGAAUUCAAGUACAGAGCCUGAACCGGAUGGAUAUCCUUAUGUCAUGUUAUAUAAAUAAAUACACUUGUUGUUUUAAUA